GACGAACGCUGGCGGCACGCCUAACACAUGGAAGUCGAACGGACUUACAAGAGCUUGCUUUUUUAAGUUAGUGGCGGACGGGUGAGUAACACGUGAGCAACCUGCCUCUGAGAGGGGGAUAGCUUCUGGAAACGGAUGGUAAUACCCCAUAAAAUAUAAAUAUCGCAAGAUAGAUAUAUCAAAGAAAUUCGCUCAGAGAUGGGCUCGCGUCUGAUUAGAUAGUUGGUGAGGUAACGGCUCACCAAGUCGACGAUCAGUAGCCGGACUGAGAGGUUGAACGGCCACAUUGGGACUGAGACACGGCCCAGACUCCUACGGGAGGCAGCAGUGGGGAAUAUUGCACAAUGGAGGGAACUCUGACGCAGCGAUGCCGCGUGGAGGAAGAAGGUUUUCGGAUUGUAAACUCCUUUUAUCAGGGACGAUAAUGACGGUACCUGAAGAAAAAGCUCCGGCUAACUACGUG
rnacentral:rRNA from 1 species